AACUACUAUUUUCCGUCUUUCCCUGGUUAUUUUUCCAAUAUCCACCAUUUUAGAUUUGCAUACUCUCACGGUAAAAAUAAGACCUCUCGCAGGUCUCUAGAGCUUAGUGUUGUCCAUGUUUCUUCAUUACCAGUGCGGUGGUGGACCCAGUGUUUAGUCCCAGUUCCUUAGAGGACCAAGAGUAAACAACAGAAGAAAAGCUGCCAACUAUAAAAACAACUGCCAAUCAGGACCACUACAGGACUGCAGAACAAAACACAAGCGACUGUAGGAACCAGACAACUGGCUGCUGCUCAACAACCACCAGCACUGUGGUUUUUAGAAAACAUGCUGAUGUCAAGCUUUGGGCAAUUUAGGGCCAUUGCACUAUUACUGGCAUAUCAAAAUAUUUUAUUUCUCUGUCAUCAGUCUGGACUGAUUUAAAACCACAGUGAUCAAAAUAACUGUGGACAAGCAAAACGCUGCCAGGUAGUAAUUUAUUGCUGAGCUGCACAUGCUUUAUAGCUUGCACCACCUAACUGAUCUAACAAUUCAAAGGGUUCCUUCGCUAUAACACAGAAUGGUCCUGUAUAAAGCUAUAAUUGUAUAAGCUCUAGCCAUUAAAAUUAUCUAAUUUUCCUGGCGAUGUUGCAGGAGAGGGAGAACUCUAAUCUAUCAUCGAUCUAUCUAUCAGCUUUAAUUGAAUUUUAAAGAAUCAGACAGUCUAAUCUGAAGAUUCACACAUGUACUAAACUGUUCCAUAUUUAUAUCAAUAUGUGUGAAAACGUGUGCUUUAAACCUUUUGACAGCAAGCUUUUGUUUUAUAUGCAAAUGAGCCAGGUCACAGCAUCCUUCUUGUUGUCCUGGUAACGCUAACCAUUGACAUAUGCCAAGCUUACUUGGUUUGUGUCUGCAUGCACCCUACAGUCAAAUAAAUGUAGCAGAAUGCCUA